AAUUAUACUAUUUUGAAAUUCAACCCCUAAACCUUAAAACUCAACUCUAAACCCUAAACCAUCAAUCUUAAACCCUAUUUUUUUUUAAAUACGAAUCCUAAACCCUGAAACAUCAACUCUAAUCCCUAAACCCCAAAACAUCAGCUCUAAACCCUAAACCCUAAACCUUCAAUCCUAAACCCUAUUUUUUUUUUUAAAUAAGAACCCAAAACCCUGAAACAUCAACUCUAAACCCUAAACCCCAAAACAUCAACUCUAAACCCUAAACCCUAAACCUUCAACUCUAAGCCCUAAAACAUUAACCCUAAACCCUAAACCCUAAACUUCAACACUAAACCCUAAACUAUCAACACUAAACCCUAAACCCUAAAAAGUAAACUCUAAACCCUAAACCCUAAAAAAUUAACCCUAAACCCUAAAACAUCAACUCUAAACCCUAAACCCUAAACUUUCAACUCUAAAUCCUAAACCU
rnacentral:lncRNA from 1 species